GGGGGGGGCGGGGCCACUGCCCUCUCCUGAGGGGCGACGCUCUGCCCCUCCCUCCCCUCAGGCGUUCGGACAGAAAUUACAUGGGACCAGGGCUGGAGGUAACCAGGAGAGAACCAGACCCCUGGAGCACCACAGGAUGUGAAACGAUGUGAGGUGACACUCAAUCGUUACACCAAUUUAUUGUUAUCCCGAGAAUUUGCCAUUACCAGGCAUUCUCUGGCAGCUGGUAAAGGCAAUUUGGGAUAAGAAGGGGCUGCAGCACAAAUAAAGACGUGGCUUGUUAAGUUUAAGACUUAGAGCUAUGAGAUAUCUUCAGUUUAACCUGCUGUGCUGCCUCCCUUGUGUGAGGCAUUGGCUCCGUUCGUGGACAACAUCUGGCACAUGGCCUGUCCGAUUGUUCCCAAUCUCCAUCCUGAUUCCAGCACCAGUGCCCAGCAAGGUUCUGCAUCAGUUUCAGGCAAAUGCAGCAGUGCCUUGGGGUGUGGUGCCUCCAGAAGGGAGCAGUGGGAACUCAGACACAAGAGCAGUGAGCUUGCUGUGAGCAGUUUCCACACCAGGGAGAGGAAGAAUGUGGUUUUGUUCCUGGCUUCAGGUGGCUCUGACACAUGAAAGGUUUCACUAAUUCUCAGUUGAGACAAGUGAAUGAUGCCUGUCCCAUCAGAAGUGACUAAGGUACCUGAACAAGAGAAUGGGGAUUUUAAAAAACAGGAAAACCUGCACAGGAUGCUCAGUAAAUCUGAAAGGAAAACACCCACCUUAUAGCUCAUCUCCUAUAUGGAAUUUUUACCUGGAGUGCAGCUGACACCAGAGGAAAGGGUGAAAAGGCUUACAGCUCUGUGAGAGAUUGUGACAGAACUGACAGCAGUGGACCCUGCUGGGUCACCAGAGAAAGAGGGAAAACACAACCCUUUGUGAUUACAGUCAAAUACAAAUAAAUAUGUUGGAAAAGAACAUUCUCUAUUUCCUGCAAGCAGUAAAGUUUGGGGGGAAAUGGCCUAUGACAAAUAUUUUUCUCUGCUGGAGGCAGCAGCAGGGCUCUGACAGGCACGUUGGAAAACAGACCAUACGUUUGUGCAUAUUCAACAGCCCCACUGGGAGACAUCAUUUCUCAGGCUGCUGUUGGGGUUGUGUUUGGCACUUGAACUGUUUCAGGGGCUUUGAUAGUCCAGGAUCUGUGCAGAGGAUGUUUUGUUCUGAGGGAAAAGAGCACAAGCACAUGACCAGAAGCUCUGAUCAGCUAUUGAAAGACCCAGACCAGCAGAGCUCAACAACACAACUCCUUUGUAAUGGAAAUGCCAUACCUAGGCAUGAAAUUAGGAAAGCAAUGUGGACAAGUGGGUUCUGAGAAGGUUGAAGUCAUCCCCAGUAUUCCUGCCCAGCAGAAAAGGAUGCAAAAUUAAGACACCUCUGAGUGGUGAAGUGUCGACCCAAUUUAGCUGCCCAAGCAAUCAAUGACAGAUCUUUAUGAGUGUUCAGGAGCCCUAACACACAGAUCUUCCCAGGGAAACUGAAAGGAGCUAAUUAAUAGCCCAGACAAACAGAAUUAAAUGCAAAGCUGGACAUAGAUCUUUACAGCCCGGUGCUGACUGUGCUGAAUUCUCUCCUUGCACUCCCAGCUGACCCCAGUGAGGCAUCAAGAUUAAUCCUUGUACAAAAAGCUUUUGCUUUCCAUUUUCUGUAAAGCACUUGCAGACUGUCUACUCGAGUGUUUCACCUGGGUGCAAUUAGAGAUAGUUUAGUCUUGACUUACAGACUUAGCUGGGUGUAGUUUUGCUCUCCCCAUCCCACUUUGAGCACCCUGAAGUGAUACUUGUCUGUCUUCACUGCUCUGGCUGCUAUUCCCUAAAUAACUGAGGCUGUUUAACUCCCAAUUGCUCAGCUCCAUCUGUGACACCUGUCCUGUUUGCAGUGUGGUUUGGGACUCUGGUGCCCCAAACUGCAGUGAGGUGAUGAUGCCACUCAGAGUUAACACACAAGUCCCUGGGCAGGAGAUGUUGAAAAGUCAUGUGAAUCCUCCUUGUUCCCAAGAGGUGCAGAGCAAGGGCUCUCAAAGGAGCUUUAGGAGGAGUUCCAAGGCUGGCCUUGAACGUGGGAUACUUUCUGGAGAGGGGACUUGGGGUCAUUUGGCUCAUGUAAAGAGACAUGAGCUUGCUUUGGGGACUGGGCUGCUCCAGCCAUGGGACACAUGGCCAGCCCAGCAGAAGCAGCUCCUGCCCUCCACCACCAGACUGAGGCCAUUUAGAUACAAGUGUUUUAGGGAGAAAUACCAGUCUUGUCUGCAGGAAAUGUCUGUUUGGGAAGACAUCCCUUCAAGUGCUUGGAGAUGGCAGAGGAAGAAGUUAAACACUGAGGGUUAGGAGUCUGCCUUGCACAGGCAGCCCCUGCAGCAGGGAAAGCCAACAGCAGGUUUUCCAGGAUCGUGAUUUUGGAAUAAGGUGCCUAAAUGUUGUGUACAUUCCACUUCAGACUCUUCUUGGAUGCCUUAGAUGUCCCUUGUUUUUCCAGUGGAGAGCAGCAAUACUUCCAUGGUGUUUCCCAGUGUCACUGCUAAACUACUGAUCCCUUUUCAAAGCCAGGGUAGAAGGUACAGCACAAAAAAAUCUUCAUUUUUUAACUAAAGUAAGGUGAAAGAGGACAUCAAAUAAUAACAGGGUCAGCCUGAGGGCACUGAGAGGAUUCACAGAAUCCCACAAUGGUUUGGGUUGGAAGGGACAUUAAAUUUCAUCUCACUCCACCCCUGCCAUGGGCAGAGACACUUUCCACUAUCCCAGGGUGCUCCAAGCCCCAUCCAACCCGGCCUUGGACACUUCCAGGGAUGCAGGGGCAGCCACAGCUGCUCUGGGCACCCUGUGCUAGGGCCUCCCCACCCUCACAGGGAGGAAUUUCUUCCCAAUAUCCCAUCUAACCCUGGGGUCCAGAGAGAUGUGAGAUGCUUGGGAAAGGUAAAUCUUGGGCUCGAGGGCUGCAGCUGGCCUUGAUUUCACUCCUCAAGUGAGGAGCUCUCCUGGCUCCAGAAGGAGCCUUUCUAUGUGGAAGCUAAAGAUCUUUAAAACCUUCCAGAGGACAACAGCCAACAUUCCCUUUCUCCCAGCUCCCACUUCCUCACACACUCCCUUGACUGAGGAAGAGGAGCAGGUUCUGCUUGGCCUGAUUUGGAAGGAAGACCCAGACUCCACUGGGAGGGAUCUGGGGUUAUCCAGCUGCACCUCAGUCUUUCCUGUCCCAUCAUUCUAGUGACCCAGAAGUCUUGAAAAAUAAAUAAUAUUUGUAAUUGUUGGGUUAUUCCUCUACACAAAUGUAAUCUUUCUAUCAGUGCUGUGCAUAAGGAUAUGCAGAAAAAACAGGAAUGUUCUUGGGAUUGGAGACCAGUGGGCAGAACAUUUUUUGCAGGCCCACACAAAACUUUUGGGUUGUCCCAAGCCAAUGUCCCAGAAGGACAUCAGAGUCAGCACUUUCACUGCUGAAAUUACCCACAGCCAAGAUAAAUACAUGAAAUAUUAGUGGGAAUAUUGAGAAAUAACAAAAACUGGUGCAGAAACCACGGUGGAAUGUGCUCGCAGGGACAUGCACAGGCACAGCCUGUCCAACGGACUCGUGGUCAUCCACAAUCCUGGCUCACAACCUGCAGCCAUUCCCUGAAACCUUCCACCAGCCUCAAUUCCUUCUGUACAAAGGCAGUCCCAUGGCCUGUUUUAAAUCUCUGACAGCUUCAUUUUGGUUCGAGCUCAGCUUCUCUCCUGGAAUAACAGGCAUUUGGGAGGCUGUCCCACCAUCAUUGUGGGAGAGAAAACUGUUCCCCUGUGACAUCCCCCUUGCUCUGUGCCCACAAACCUCAGGGUCCAUCACAGCCUUGAGUCUGCAUGGAAAGAGCCAGCUGGAACCUCUGGAAACCUGGAAUGCUCAUGAGAUUGAGGAAGGGGGAAAGCAUGAGCACUGGUCCCUUCUCCAAAAGCUGCACACCAAGAUCCCAAAUCACUUCUUACUCCAGCACUCAGGAACUCACUGGAGUCAGAGCUUUGGGAUUUAACUGCUCCUGGAAAGAAAGAAACUCCUAUUUGCUUGCACAAAGAUUGUGAGUUUUCUUCCUCCACUCCAGUGGAAGUUUUAUCCAAUAGGCCCCUUGCUGUGUAUCCAGUGGCCUGGUCACCACUGCCUCAGGUGAGCACAAAUCCAGUGGACUGACGUGGGAAAACAGCCUGAGCUGGAGGUGUGCUCACAUAGCUUCAUUUAGAUCUUUCCUGAUGGGAGAAUUGAGAACCAAAGAUGUUCCCACCAAACCUACUCAUCCAAUUACUGGCCCACUUUGAAAAUGUGAUAUGGAUCAGAGGAGCAGCCUGCGCUUUUCCCAGGACGGAGCAGGAGUGUGCAGACACUGCACUUUUGGGAAGCAUCGAGAACCAGACACAGGAGCUUUGUGGCUUUUCUUCUUUGGCUCUGACUUGCUCUGACUCCUCACCUGCUCACCAUUAGCACCCCGUGGUGCAGUUGUGUUUGACAUCCCUGUGCCAGCCCCUGAUUUAUUUGGCCUCACACAGUCCCUCCUCCUCCACGCGGCCUUGGGAGCAGCAGAACAGACAUUCUGAAAUGGAACUCCCUUGAAUCAGUCACUGCCAAAGGAGCAGACACCUUCAAAGAGCAUUAUCUUUGUGAAUCAAACCUCACCCUUCCCAAAUGAUCUCUUUUUUUUGGUGAAAUGGAGCUUUUGGGGUUUGGCAGAAGCGGACAAAUACUCCAGUGGGCAGACUUAAAAAAAACAGGUGAAAGCAUGACUGAGGUUCAGAGUCACAGAAAAAAGGAGAGAAAGGAUUCAGGGAGAAAUCCAGUGUGCUACAUUCAUCACUCACUCAUUCAAUUACAAGGCUUUGAGCAACUGUGCAAUGAAGGGAAUUCAAGCUCCCCAUUUUCUGGUGUACCUCUAAUGCUUUUCCCCAUGGCACUGCAGGAGAUGAGCCAUGCUCCUUUCUACACCCAUUCCCCAUAGAAAAUCUGCAAACCAUCACCACUGAUGUUCCCUAAUUUAGAAUCCAUGUCCUAACAUUCUCUGCCUCCAAAGCAUGGCCACCACUUAAUGCCCUGCUUGCUUUAGGAACGUGGUUUUCCUUUGGUCUGAUGGGAACACCAUGAUUAUGUGCUGCACGUGCCAGAGAGGCAGGGCUGGUUGGGGAAGGAGAAGGGAGGCUUCAGCUCAGAAGUGAUAGUACCUAUUUUUGGCUUCCAGAACCAGGCUGUGCUUCUCCCACUCAGUUUUGAUGCUCCAACACAUUUCACUGGAGAUGUCACCAAUCCCAGGCAGUCACGACAAUCUGGGGUGCUGGGAUUCAGCUUCGUGGGGGAGGGAAGACAAGCAGCAAUUUUUCUGAAGUCUGUGGCAGGAACAAAUGGAUUUGUGGUGACUGUUAUUUGCAUAUUAGUACUUAGAUGAGGCUAUUUUUCAGUCUGAACAUACCGUUAGAACACGGGAGAUCUACAUCUGAUGGUCCCUUCCACCUGCAGUGGGACAUCACCUGCUCCUGAACUUCCAUGAUGAGGUUUUCAGAUCUGCUAAAACAUCUUGCAGAACCAAAUACCCUCUUGCUCCCCACUGCCUGGGACACAUAAAACAGACAAAAUACAGUCUCCUGGAGUGAAUUCAUGUCCUAAGUGUGUUUUACAGAACUACAGUGCCUACUGGGGGUGCACAGGAUUUUCCCAGAACUCCAAGUGCUACAGUUCCCACUGUUGUUAAGUGCCAACUUAUUUACAUCCCAGAAUCCCGAGGCAGCACAAGCCAAGGUCUCUGCUCCCAUCACCUGCUGCAGGUACCCCCAGGAGGUGGUGAGAGCCUCCCCUCUCCGUGGCUGUGCUUCAGCCAUGUGAAGGAGGAAGCCCAAAACCUCUCCUGAAACUGAGCACUCGACCUGGGCACCUCAGUCCAUGCUGGAGGGGCUCCCCAUGAGCAGGCCACCCUGUGCCUCCUGCCCCCAGCAGCCUGUCCCUGCCUGGCACCCUGCCCUGAGCCCCGCAGCACUGAGCAGGGAGGGGAGACAAAGCUGGGGCUGCCCAUCCUUGCAAGUGUCCAAGGCCAGGUUGGAUGGGGCGUGGAGCAACCUGGGACAGUGGCAGGUGUCCCUGUCCAUGGCAGGGGUUGGAACUGGAUGGGCUUUAAGGCCCCUCCCAAACCAUUCUGUGAUUCCAAAUCCAACAGGAUCCAAGGGAAGACAAGGCAGAGGGUGAGGAGCUCAGGCAUCUCUGACGCCAGGCCAGUGCUCUGAGAAAGUUGGGAACCAAAAGCCAGCCCUGUGGGCCUGCAGCUCACCCACCACGGGAUCAGCUUUCCUUUCUUCAGCUGCUUUUCUUCAUUCUGUUCUCUUGCAGCACUCUGUGCUAUGGAGUGAUAGAAAGACGUAACAGCUUCUCCAAACACAUUUAUCUUUAGAAAUGGAACAGCAAGAGAAAAUGACACCAUGUAGACACUGUAAAAAGCCUUCACUACAGUAAAAAAAAAAAAAAAAAAAGUUACAUUCUUGAUCAAGGAACAAACUGGUCUGAAUAGUCACAAUCACAUUUUACAGCCAUGUAACUCUUUUUAUCUUUUUCUCUCCCAACAUCUGAAGAAGAUGAACAUCUGAUUCCUUUAUGUGGGAAUUGCUUAAACCAGCACUGGGAGAAAAUAUGAAGUUGAAUAUUGAUCUGAAAAGAUGGAGUGAGUUCAGCCCUGAGUUAAUGGUCCUGGAUUUUGGACAGGGGCUGGCAGAGCUCAGCCCCUCUCAGGACCAGCCCCUGCCUGGUUCCUGCCAGCCCCACAGCCCGAGGCUCCUGCAGCUUCAUUCCUUUCAGCAAAGGUUGGCAGAAGGAGCACAGCACCAUUUUAUUUAAUCAUGGUUGGAGUUCUGGUAUGCAGAGGAAAAGAAUCCUGGGAGCAGAGUGUAUUUUCAUGAUGAGUGCAUACAGAGUGGUAUAAAAUGUCUGCACCACUUCUUUCCACUCCAGCCUGUGUCUUUGAAGUCAUGGUAACAGCUUUUGGAUCCCAAUCCUCUGAUGAGACUCCUUGAUUUAUUAGGUAAAACAUCUGGAAAAAAUGAGGACUUGUGGCACUGUAAAUCCUCCAGAAGGAGCAAAGAGAGGUUUCAUCUGAGCAGCCCUCCUGUCAAAACGCAGGAAACCUGAGCCCUGGCCACUGGCUUGAGGGUGCUCCGAGGCUGAAAAGCUCCAGCCGGGCUCGUUCCCGUUUCACCCAGUGGCCAGAAAGCAGCUGUGAGCAGAGGAAUGUGCAGCAGUCCGGGGAGCUGGGCCACGCCAGGCCGCUGGAAAGGUUUGCAGACGCUCGGGUGUCAGUAGCAGUGCUGCCCUUGACAGCACCAGGGAGCCCCUGCUGUAAAUCCCGGCACUCUGGGAGCAAUCUGGGAUGUAAAUACCUGCAAAUACCUGCCUGUCACCCACACAGGAACAGCCAAACCCACUGCCCGGGCCCCCGCCGAGAGGGGCCUUGGGGUGACUUUGCCAUCCCAUAAUUACAACAGGAACGUUGGAGAAGAAAACCGUUUGGAAGGAAUGAAGCCCGUGCAAGUACCAAACAAGGCGACUUUGUGAGGCAGAUUCCUUCUUUUAUUUGGAAGCAGCCCUGAGGUAUUGAUUAUUCAUUGAAAAUCUAAACCCCAAAGAUGUGACCAAAUGAUUUCACCAAAAAGGUCUGAUUUCUGCUCCAAAGCAGGCAUUUCCAAGCAGUGACAACCCUUUUGCUGUACAGAUAUUGUGGUGCUGAUGGGCACCCAGGGAUGGAAACAUCUCCAUGAAGUGCACGAGGGAGGAGAAGCUGCUGACGGAGCUGUUCCAAGGGAUCAGAUUAUAAAUGUAUGGAAUGACUCAGGUGCACCCUGCAUCCUGCCCAGGAGAAGCACCUGCAUGCACAAUGCCUGGCUGGGAUGUGGCACUGACAGCUCAGGCACCGGGGUCAGGACUCACCUCCAGUGUCAGACUGGCGCAAGUGCUUUGGAUGCUGGGAAAUGCAAAGCCACAAGGAUGAGAACAGACCUUUUCUGGGGGGAAACAAAAGCUAAAAUGUGAAUAGCUAUAAACCCCCAAUUUGUCACCAGAGGACAGCAAGUAUUUCCUUUCCUUGCCAGCCUGGAGGCUGGGGAGAAGCAGAAGUGGCUGAAGGAGAGCUCAAGGUGAGGCCCGUUAUUUACUGCUGCUGAUGAAUAAGCAAAGCCCCACAUCAUGUUUUCCUGCAGGACAGGAAAAGCUCUGGAGUGUUUAGCAGGCUGGGCAGUUGUUCUUUUCCCCCUCCUGGGGUGUGUUUUACAUGCUCUUCCAGCGAGACGCAGUCCCACUAUUAGUUGUUCACACACAUAAAACACAUGGAAUUCUCCUCCACCCCCACUCACACCCAGCAGACCAGCUGGGGGAGAGCUGGAAAAGUCACCCACCGAGACAGAGGUGGGGGGAAUAAUGUAAAAAAGAUCCAAAAGGAUUCGUGUUGGUUUUUUUAAAAAUGUAAUAUACUUCUCUGCACCAGUUUAAAAGCACAGGCUUGUUUGAACUUCCUAGGGAAGGCGGGAGCAGGGGGCAGGAAUUGGCAGGCUCCGAUCUGGCUGCUUUUCCUUAUUAUGAGAAAAUCCACUCUGGUCUUGUGCGAGGGUAUGAAUUCUUCAUCUCAUACUGUGUUUGCACAGAAGCGUGAAAUACAUCCCGAGCGCUGGUGCCGUCCCCAGAGCACAAUGCGAGAACAAGGAGGGCACUGAGAGCGGGGCCGCUGCUCGCCCAGGGCCCGGGCUCUGCACUGCAUUCAGCACAUCCACGGCGCUGAAAAGGAGAGCCCCAGGCACGUAUUUCCUCCCCGGAGCUCGGGGGCCCUGGGCUGCGAGCUGCCAUCCCUGUGGGAAGCUCCCACCCUCCUUUCCGUAAACGUUCCCCCCGCUGCCGCUGAAUCACCAAAUAAUCAGGAGACCCGUGGGAAGGAAAUUAAAGGGUGGUUAUCACGCUG